rnacentral:rRNA from 1 species
AAUUUUGGACAAUGGGCGCAAGCCUGAUCCAGCUAUGCCGCGUGAGUGAUGAAGGCCUUCGGGUUGUAACGCUCUUUCGGACGGAAGGAAAUCGCACAGGCUAAUACCCUGCGCGGAGGCCGGUAUCGUUAUAAGAAGCCCCGGCUAACUACCUGCCAGUAGCCGCGGUAAUACGUAGGGUGCGAGCGUUAAUCGGAAUUACUGGGCGUAAAGCGUGCGCAGGCGGUUGAUUAAGACAGGCGUGAUAUCCCCGGGCUUAACCUGGGAACUGCGCUUGUGACUGGUAAGCUAGAGUACGGCAGAGGGGGGUGGAAUUCCACGUGUAGCAGUGAAAUGCGUAGAGAUGUGGAGGAACACCGAUGGCGAAGGCAGCCCCCUGGGCCGAUACUGACGCUCAUGCACGAAAGCGUGGGUAGCAAACAG